AUCGCUUCUCGGCCUUUUGGCUCAGAUCAAGUGUAGUAUCUGUUCGUAUCAGUUUAAUAUCUGAUACGUCCCCCAUCGGGGGACUACAUAUUAAAUGGAUUUUUCGAACAGGGAGUCGGAAAUGGGGCUUGCUCCGUCCGCUCCACGCAUCGACCCGGUAUUGCAGUACCUCCGGGAACGGUGCAACACUU
rnacentral:snRNA from 8 species